AUGUCGUCCCGGCCAGCCGUCGACCCCGAGUCGUCCCCGGCGGCGCAGCAGGCUCCACUGCUCGGCAAUGCAGACGGCCGGACACAAACAACAACCGUCCUAGGCAAGGCUCUGAGCAGCACCGCGGACCUCGCGAAGCACCUCCCCACCGGCGCCGUGCUGGCCUUCGAAUUCCUCUCGCCGACCUUCAGCGCCGACGGCACCUGCACGGCCGCCAACCGCGCGCUCACCGGCUGCCUCAUCGGCGCCUGUGCCCUCUCGUGCUUCCUCCUCUGCUUCACCGACAGCUACCGCGACGAGACGGGCACCGUGCGCUACGGCUUCGUCACGCCCAGCGGCCGCCUGAGACUCAUCGACGGCGCCCAGCAGAUGCCACCGCGGGACGAGAGAUACCGGCUUCGCGCGAGGGACGUGCUGCACGGGGUGCUGUCGUUCGUGGUGUUCCUGGCCGUGGCCAUGGUGGACAGCAACGUCGUGGCGUGCUUCUACCCCGUGGAGUCCGCCACGACGAGGCAGCUGCUCGCCGCAGUGCCCAUGUCUGCCGGAGCGGCGGGGAGCUUCCUGUUCGCUAUGUUCCCGUCCACGCGCCGGGGAAUUGGCUUCCCCGUCGCAGGCACGUCAUGA
rnacentral:rRNA from 1 species